rnacentral:tRNA from 1 species
GCCUGGGUGGCUCAGUCAGUUAAGCGUCCGACUUCAGUUCAGGUCAUUAUCUCAUGGAUUGUGGGUUCGAGCCCCACGUCGGGCU